UCCCUGAUGGUCUAGUGGUCAGGAUUUGGCGCUCAAACCGCCCCGGCCAGGGUUCGAUUCCCGGUCAAGGAA